AAAGUACGUUCUUGAACUUGGUGAUGAAAGUCCGAAUUGUUUCGUUCGGCCCUUGAGAUAGAUUCCAAAGAUCGGUAUCCGAAAUGCUUUUAUCCAUAAGAAUGGAAUAUUGUUUCAAAAAUACUGCUAAUAGCUCAUUGAAGUUGCUGAUCGAUCCUGGUUCCAACUGGGUGAACCACAUCAGGGCUUGUCCGCACAGAUUCUCAGAGAAAAGCUUGCAGUUUCCUGCAUUUUCAUCGGCCUCGUUCAGAUCAACUCGCCCAGCAGCAAUUAGAAAAACUGCAAGAUAGCCUUUCAGAUCUUCCAAACCGUUGUACGGUUCUAAGUUAAGCUUUCAGGAAUCCCUGAUCCUCAAGCUGGCAAUUUGCAGGGUGAAAGGUGUUCGCCUAGCUUCUUUGAUGACCCGGUUGAUAUCCGGUUCCGAGCUUAUAGCUUGGUGGAAUUUUGACCUCAUUUCUUUCAAUUCCCGGCUUACUUUUCUCAUGGUUUCGAACUGGUUGAAAUUUUCUUGCUCGUGUUGAUUCGCGAACUGAUUAUCGUCUUCGGGAUGCGUUUCUCCAUCUUCCGGUUGUAUGUCCGCGUUUGUACCAUCCGGGGUUGUUUGAUCACUUGCUGCUCUUCGCGGAAGGGAAUUUGGGGAACCGAAGAUAGUUCUUCGAACUCCAGAGGAAUUGCCUGCAUUCAAAGAACGAACACGAGACUGAAUAGUACUAACAUUUUGACUGAGUGAUACCUUAGUUGUUUGUAGUGUUUCGACGGUUUUUUCCACAUUCGAAAACUUCUGCACCAUUUCCGCCAUAGUUUGCUGCAUGGUUUUGAGAGUUUCGGCUAAUGAAGCGUUGGUAGCAUCUUCUCCAGACAUUGCUGCUCACUUCGGAAAUGUAAUAGAUAGAAAAAAUCUGACGACUCAAGAAUCCUCCGUCCCCACAGACGGCGCCAAAAUUUGGAUGUCGGAUUCACACACUCAAAUAUUUAUUUAUUUAGUGAGAAGGAUUAUUCUUGAGGACAAAUGUACUAGAAAAUAAACUAAUGAUUAUAGAGAAAACUAUGAGUUUUGUAAGAAAAUGCCUAAGAAUCCAAUAUAUAAAAUCAGAUGUUCAAAAACAAAUAUGCCUAAGAAAAGGGAAAUUUGGUCGUUUGUACCACAUUCACCAAAAAAAACUAUCCGUUUGUAACACAUUCAUGGAGACAUACAAGUUUCGUGGACCAAUAUGCCCUUGACGGAGACAUGUGUCAGAGGAAGAGAGAGAAUUCCAGUGGAGAAAAUAUUUGCAAAACAACGCAUUUACUGCUUUUGUGUACGUAUUUAAUAAAUGAUACUUUAUUAGCUGAGACAAUAAUUAUUUGUGUUUUAACAAAUAAUUCUACAGUUUCAUUGUUGAAGUUCAAAAAGAUUUUGGAUUAUGUUCCCCCAUUACAAUAUUUUGUCUUCGAGUUUCGUUUGUUUGUUGUUUAUCCAGAUCAUUUUCGAGUUUUUUUUGUCUCCGUUUGGUAGAUCCAAAUUGUCAGAUGAUGAAUAGUAUUUAUGACGACAACUGAACAAUUUUUUUUUUAGUUAAAACUAAACUAUUUAUCAU
rnacentral:sRNA from 1 species